CCACUGAGAAGAUAGUGGCGAACGGGUGAGUAACACGUGGGUAACCUGCCCGAUAAGAGGGGGAUAACAUCCGGAAACGGGUGCUAAUACCGCAUAGUUUUCUUGAUCGCAUGAUCGGGAAAGGAAAGACGGCCUUUGUGCUGUCGCUUAUGGAUGGACCCGCGGCGUAUUAGUUAGUUGGUGAGGUAACGGCUCACCAAGACGAUGAUACGUAGCCGACCUGAGAGGGUGAUCGGCCACAUUGGGACUGAGACACGGCCCAAACUCCUACGGGAGGCAGCAGUAGGGAAUCUUCCGCAAUGGACGAAAGUCUGACGGAGCAACGCCGCGUGAGUGAAGAAAAGGUUUUCGGAUCGUAAAACUCUGUUGUCAGAGAAGAACAAGUUGGAGAGUAACUGCUCCAGCCUUGACGGUAUCUGACCAGAAAGCCACGGCUAACUACGUGCCAGCCGCCGC
rnacentral:rRNA from 1 species